rnacentral:rRNA from 1 species
UAGGGAAUUUUUCACAAUGGACGAAAGUCUGAUGGAGCAACGCCGCGUGCAGGAGGAAGGCCUUCGGGUUGUAAACUGCUUUUAAGGGGGAAGAUUAUGACGGUACCCCUAGAAUAAGGAUCGGCUAACUACGUGCCAGCAGCCGCGGUCAUACGUAGGAUCCAAGCGUUAUCCGGAAUUACUGGGCGUAAAGAGUUGCGUAGGUGGCAGAGUAAGCGAUGCAUUAAAGCUCACGGCUCAACCGUGAAUAUAUGUAUCGAACUACUCAGCUUGAGUAUGGGAGAGGUAGAUGGAAUUUCUAGUGUAGGAGUGAAAUCCGUAGAUAUUAGAAGGAACACCGAUGGCGUAGGCAGUCUACUGGCCCAUUACUGACACUAAGGCACGAAAGCGUGGGGAGCGAACGGG